rnacentral:rRNA from 1 species
CCGAGUUGUAAUUUGUAGAAGGUAACUUUGGAAUUGGCUCUUGUCUAUGUUCCUUGGAACAGGACGUCACAGAGGGUGAGAAUCCCGUGCGAUGAGGUGCCCAAUUCUAUGUAAAGUGCUUUCGAAGAGUCGAGUUGUUUGGGAAUGCAGCUCUAAGUGGGUGGUAAAUUCCAUCUAAAGCUAAAUAUUGGCGAGAGACCGAUAGCGAACAAGUACAGUGAUGGAAAGAUGAAAAGAACUUUGAAAAGAGAGUGAAAAAGUACGUGAAAUUGUUGAAAGGGAAGGGCUUGAGAUCAGACUUGGUAUUUUGCGUUCCUUCCCCUCGUGGGUUGGUUCCUCGCAGCUUACCGGGCCAGCAUCGGUUUGGAUGGUAGGAUAAUGACAUUGGAAUGUGACACCGCUUCGGUGGUGUGUUAUAGCCUUUGUUGAUACUGCCUGUCUAGACCGAGGACUGCGUCUUUGACUAGGAUGUUGGCAUAAUGAUCUUAAGUCGCCCGUCUUGAACCAC